rnacentral:rRNA from 1 species
UACGGAGGGAGCUAGCGUUGUUCGGAAUUACUGGGCGUAAAGCGCGCGUAGGCGGCUUUGUAAGUCGGGGGUGAAAGCCCGGAGCUCAACUCCGGAACUGCCUUUAAAACUGCAUCGCUUGAAUCCAGGAGAGGUGAGUGGAAUUCCGAGUGUAGAGGUGAAAUUCGUAGAUAUUCGGAAGAACACCAGUGGCGAAGGCGGCUCACUGGACUGGUAUUGACGCUGAGGUGCGAAAGCGUGGGGAGCAAACAGG